rnacentral:rRNA from 1 species
AUUGAACGCUGGCGGCAGGCCUAACACAUGCAAGUCGAACGGUAGCACAGAGAGCUUGCUCUCGGGUGACGAGUGGCGGACGGGUGAGUAACGUCUGGGAAACUGCCCGAUGGAGGGGGAUAACUACUGGAAACGGUAGCUAAUACCGCAUAACGUCGCAAGACCAAAGUGGGGGACCUUCGGGCCCCACACCAUCGGAUGUGCCCAGAUGGGAUUAGCGAGUAGGUGGGGUAAUGGCUCACCUAGGCGACGAUCCCUAGCUGGUCUGAGAGGAUGACCAGCCACACUGGAACUGAGACACGGUCCAGACUCCUACGGGAGGCAGCAGUGGGGAAUAUUGCACAAUGGGCGCAAGCCUGAUGCAGCCAUGCCGCGUGUAUGAAGAAGGCCUUCGGGUUGUAAAGUACUUUCAGCGGGGAGGAAGGCGGUGAAGUUAAUAGCUUCACCGAUUGACGUUACCCGCAGAAGAAGCACCGGCUAACUCCGUGCCAGCGGCCGCCGUAA